ACGGCAUCCUCGAGCUGGCUCCCCCGCCAUUGGCCAUUGCAGAUGCCAUGUCACCUCACACUGAUACCGGGAACAAAAAGCCCCAGCAGCCGUCACAAGGCGCUUUUAUAGAUUCCCGCCGUGUCAGUCCGCGACUCCACCCUGCGGGCGCCUCACUCGGGUGUAUAUAUGACGCUCGUCUCUACAUCAUCAAACCAAAAGUGACGUGUCUCUUCGCAUUCCAUUCAAGAUACUGCUGCUGCCCAAGAGAAUUUCAUUACAUGGGAUGUGCUGCUGUAUUUCUAUAGUUUAUAAGCCAAUUUGGAGAGAGACACACACAGACACUACAGGACUCUGGAUCCCCAGCCGUAUCUCAAUAAAGCAGGGAGACAGCUGGAACGCAAAGAUACAGAAGUGUCCCAUCAACGUGAAACAAAUGACCACUACAUACCCGGGGAAAGGUUAGAAGAUCAAGCUAUCUGGUAUCCCAACAAAGCCUGAAUUAGGCGAAAUGCGUUGAUUACUGAACUGAUCCCCUGACAGCACAGCGAGGCAAACACUGCAUCCAUUUACAAGGAACGGACAUUCACCACCGUACACAGGUGAUUUCACCAGCCCUUUUGAGCAAACCCCGGAGGAGGGUAUGUGGACACGCCUCCUGUUAUAGGUCACGCCCCGUAGAACUACCCAGACCUGACCCUGCGUUCAACGGGGUUUGGGGAGAAAAAGAAACAGAGGAAUCUGUAAUGUUGACGCACUAACUAGAAGUAUAGUUAAAAUAUAGCCUUUAUUAGAUAUGCAUUAAAUUGUAUUAUGAAUCAUUGAUCCAGACUACAGUGAAACAUAGAGUUAAAAACUUGACAGUACUAACAUAUAUGUGAAUUAAAGAGAUGAAAA